GCACUACUGAGGAGUCUCAUAAUAGGACGAAACGGCCGUCCAGUAC
rfam:Schistosoma mattheei strain Denwood, Zambia genome assembly, scaffold: SMTD_scaffold0000186